UACGGAGGGGGCUAGCGUUGUUCGGAAUUACUGGGCGUAAAGCGCACGUAGGCGGAUUGGUCAGUUAGGGGUGAAAUCCCAGAGCUCAACUCUGGAACUGCCUUUAAUACUGCCAGUCUCGAGUCCGGAAGAGGUAAGUGGAACUCCUAGUGUAGAGGUGGAAUUCGUAGAUAUUAGGAAGAACACCAGUGGCGAAGGCGGCUUACUGGUCCGGUACUGACGCUGAGGUGCGAAAGCGUGGGGAGCAAACAGG
rnacentral:rRNA from 1 species